rnacentral:sRNA from 12 species
AUGUUGAAAGGGGAAAGGAACCCAAUCAACAAAUAUAAUGCGAGUAAGGAAUCGCA